rfam:Schistosoma haematobium scaffold545_1, whole genome shotgun sequence.
AUCCAUCUGACGAGUCCGAAAUAGGACGAAACGCGCAUCCUAAAU